AGAUGGUGAGAGUACCAAAAGGCAUUGAAACCAGUGAGCUUCUUGAGGAAAGUGGGCAAAUUAAGCCUGUUACGCCUGAACCAAGGGGUAGCUAGUGUAAAGGCUAUCGCCAUCAAUAUCACCAUUAUGAUCCCGGUCACUCCCUCGACUGAUUUGACAAAAUGCCAGUAGCUAGAAGGUUGAUCCCCAAAGAAUGGCUGCAUAAGCUUCCACUUCUCUUCGCUUGCUUGAAGAAGCCGAGGGAAAUCACAGGCUAAAUGAGAAAUCCCAUGCAGACCAACUCCAAUUGUAAUCCCCACUGCUAUCACCUUGUGGAAAUUGAGGUU
rnacentral:misc_RNA from 1 species